AUUAAAGCAUUAUUUCCCAAAUCCAACACUCUCAAAUUCACAAAUCUCUGCAACAAAUCUCCCCUAAAAAAACCACCACCCAAGUUAUUAUGACUCAAAUUCAUAAUCUGAACUGUUGCAGCUAAUGCAGAUAUAUUCUCCGGUGCCAUACUCGAAAACGACCCAAAAAACGAGUUGUUACUCAAAUCCAAUGCAGAUACAUUAUCCGGUCCCAUAUUCGAAAACGACCCGAAAAAGGAGUUGUUACUCAAAUCAAGAUGCUCAAGAUACCUCAACUCAUAAAACAACUCCUCAAUAUCACCCC
rnacentral:lncRNA from 1 species